rnacentral:tRNA from 1 species
UAUUUAUUAGUUUAAAAAAAAACAUUAUAUUUUCAAUAUAAAAAUAAAAAUUUUAUAAAUAAACAUUAAAUAAU